rnacentral:rRNA from 1 species
ACCCAAUAGAUACCCUGGUAGUCCACGCCCUAAACUAUGUCGACUGGUUGUUGGGGGUUUGACACUCUCAGUAAACGAAAGCUAAACGCGUGAAGUCGACCGCCUGGGGAGUACGGCCGCAAGGUUAAAACUCAAAGGAAUUGACGGGGACCCGCACAAGCGGUGGAUUAUGUGGAUUAAUUCGAUGCAACGCGAAAAACCUUACCUACCCUUGACAUGUCCUGAAGCCUGGAGAGAUCCGGGUGUGCCCGAAAGGGAACGGGGAACACGAGGUGCUGCAUGGCUGUCGUCAGCUCGUGUCGUGAGAUGUUAGGGUUAACGUCCCGCAACGAGCGCAACCCUUGUCAUUAGUUGCUACAUUCAGGUUGGGCACUCUAAUGAGACU